rnacentral:rRNA from 1 species
AGAGCAGGGUAAGCCGACCCCUAAGGCGAGGCCGAAAGGCGUAGUCGAUGGGAACCAGGUUAAUAUUCCUGGGCCAGGAAGUAGUGACGGAUCUCGAGGGUAGUUCAUCCUUAUCGGAUUGAAUGGGCUGCUUAGAGGUUCCUGGAAAUAGCUCUUCCGCUAGAUCGUACCCUAAACCGACACAGGUGGACUGGUAGAGAAUACCAAGGCGCUUGAGAGAACGAUGUUGAAGGAACUCGGCAAAAUACCUCCGUAAGUUCGCGAGAAGGAGGCCCCGUUAGGACGCAAGUCUUGGCGGGGGGCACAAACCAGGGGGUGGCGACUGUUUACUAAAAACACAGGGCUCUGCGAAGUCGCAAGACGACGUAUAGGGUCUGACGCCUGCCCGGUGCCGGAAGGUUAAAAGGAGAGGUGCAAGCCUUGAAUUGAAGCCCCGGUAAACGGCGGCCGUAACUAUAACGGUCCUAAGGUAGCGAAAUUCCUUGUCGGGUAAGUUCCGACCUGCACGAAUGGCGUAACGACUUCCCCGCUGUCUCCAACAUAGACUCAGCGAAAUUGAAUUACCGGUCAAGAUGCCGGUUACCCGCGGUUAGACGGAAAGACCCCGUGCACCUUUACUACAACUUCACACUGGCAUUAGGCCGAACAUGUGCAGGAUAGGUGGUGGGCUUUGAAGCGUGGACGCCAGUCUGCGUGGAGCCUCCCUUGAGAUACCACCCUUGUUCUGCUUGAUGUCUAACCGCGGUCCGUUAUCCGGAUCCGGGACCCUGUGUGGUGGGUAGUUUGACUGGGGCGGUCGCCUCCUAAAUCGUAACGGAGGCGCGCGAAGGUUGGCUCAGAGCGGUCGGAAAUCGCUCGUUGAGUGCAAUGGCAGAAGCCAGCCUGACUGCGAGACUGACAAGUCGAGCAGAGUCGAAAGACGGCCAUAGUGAUCCGGUGGUCCCAAGUGGGAGGGCCAUCGCUCAACGGAUAAAAGGUACGCCGGGGAUAACAGGCUGAUACUGCCCAAGAGUCCAUAUCGACGGCAGUGUUUGGCACCUCGAUGUCGGCUCAUCUCAUCCUGGGGCUGGAGCAGGUCCCAAGGGUACGGCUGUUCGCCGUUUAAAGAGGUACGUGAGCUGGGUUUAGAACGUCGUGAGACAGUUCGGUCCCUAUCUUCCGUGGGUGUAGGAUACUUGAGAGGAGUUGCCCCUAGUACGAGAGGACCGGGGUGAACGAUCCACUGGUGGACCAGUUGUCAUGCCAAUGGCAGUGCUGGGUAGCUAUGAUCGGAAAGGAUAACCGCUGAAGGCAUCUAAGCGGGAAGCCCCCCUCAAAACAAGGUAUCCCUGAGAGCCGUGGUAGACCACCACGUCGAUAGGCCGGAGAUGUAAGCGCAGCAAUGCGUUCAGUUGACCGGUACUAAUUGCUCGAUAGGCUUGAUU